GGGGAUUCACCGCCUCCCAGAAGCCGGCCUCUCGCGGGGCGGUGCCUCUCGCCCCCAGCCUUAGCUCCCGGCCGCCAGGCAGCGCGGCGUCCUGAAGGGCGGGCCCGGCAGGCGCCACCUUUGAAGUGCAGACCCUGCCCAGGCGGAGGUCCGGACCCAGGCGUACCUGAUAGGAGCCGCCGGUCAGGGCCAGCUCCGCUAGGACCGCUCGGCCAUUAGCAAUACAGCUACCCUGGGACCUGGCUUUGGGAAUUCAUAUUCUGGGAGUGGUUACAGAAGCAUUUGCAGACAGACGCCAAUCUCGAGUGGCGGGUCACUGAAUGAAGAGCACUGGUCACAUUGUUUGUAUGUGGGGAAAAUGAAAUAUGAGUAUUAACCAUCAAUGAGAUACACAAGCGGUCAUGAAUCCCUUUCAGGAUGUAGCAACCAGCACAUACUUGAUCCUUGUUGGAGCUAUGCAGGCUAUUGGUCAACCUUCGGGGUUACAGACUCACUGAAGACUGCUGAGGAUAACCCAGAAGCCAAAGGAUUUAUUAUUAUUCCUCAAGCCACUUGGACUUAAACUAAAUAUUAAGAAAAUUCAAAAUUCAAAAUAAACCAUGAUGAGGUCACCAUUUUUCCUAAUGUCCUA